AUGGACAUGAAUGAAGAGCAACCUCAUGCUGAAGAUCGGUGCAUACUAUGGUCGGAUGGGAUGCAGCUGCUCAAAGACGCGGCAGAAGGAAAACAUUUCCUCCCUACCGGACUUGAAGGCAUCGAUACGCUUCUUGGAGGUGGGCUGCGCAAAGGCCAGUUGACAGAAAUAACCGGCCAGUCAUCUUCUGGUAAAACACAGGUCUGUCUAUAUUCUGCUGCACAUGUUGCAGCCAGGCAUAUGGGUCUUGUUCUCUACUUGGAUACUAGUAAUUCAUUCUCCCCUAGCCGAAUUGCUCACAUUCUUGAUGAACUACCCAUCUCUUUGAUCAAAGAGCCAAAGGAUGUGAGGCUUAAGAGGGUCAUGAGCAGUAUCAUUUGUGAGUCUGUAUUUGAUAUAUUUGCUUUGUUUGAAGUACUAGAUCGACUUGAAGUCUCAUUGAAUGGAAAGGUAACUAAUGGCAGUAACAGGAUAUGCCUGCUUAUCAUUGACUCGGUAUCAUCUCUACUUGCUCCCAUUAUCGGCGGGAAGAAUUCACAAGGGCGGUCGAUGAUGAUAUCAGUGGCGAUGAUUCUUAAGAAGUUGGCACAUAAGCACAAUCUAUCUGUUCUGGUAACGAAUCAUAUGGUCGCCGGGAAUGGAGCUCCAAAACCUGCCCUUGGUGAGAGCUGGAAAGCUGUUCCACAUAUUCGCCUGAUGAUCUCUCGUGAUCGUGGGAGCAAUAUCUGCACCGCGACGGCACUGAAGCACACGCUACUGGCUUGUGGUCGCCAUAUGAAAUUUCAGUUCCUACCUAGCUGA
rnacentral:rRNA from 1 species